rnacentral:tRNA from 1 species
GCGGGCGUGGUGGAAUUGGUAGACACGCAAGACUUAAAAUCUUGUUUCCGUAUGGAAGUGCCGGUUCAAGUCCGGCCGCCCGCACCA